rnacentral:rRNA from 1 species
GACGAACGCUGGCGGCGUGCUUAACACAUGCAAGUCGAACGGAAAGGCCUUUUCGGAGGUACUCGAGUGGCGAACGGGUGAGUAACACGUGGGUGAUCUGCCCUGCACUCUGGGAUAAGCCUGGGAAACUGGGUCUAAUACCGGAUAGGACCGCACUUUAGUGUGUGUGGUGGAAAGUUUUUUCGGUGUAGGAUGAGCCCGCGGCCUAUCAGCUUGUUGGUGGGGUAAUGGCCUACCAAGGCGGCGACGGGUAGCCGGACUGAGGGGUUGGUCGGCCACAUUGGGACUGAGAGUCGGCCCCGACUCCUACGGGAGGCAGCAGUGGGGAAUAUUGCACAAUGGGCGCAAGCCUGAUGCAGCGACGCCGCGUGGGGGAUGACGGCCUUCGGGUUGUAAACUCCUUUCGCCAGGGACGAAGCGUUUUGUGACGGUACCUGGAGAAGAAGCACCGGCUAACUACGUG